rnacentral:misc_RNA from 1 species
GGAAGUAAAAGUCGUAACAAAGUUUCCGUAGGUGAACCUGCGGAAGGAUCAUUAAAGAGUAAGGGUCUUCGGGCCCGAUCUCCAACCCUUUGUUUAACUACCAUGUUGCUUUGGCGGGCCCGUCUCACGACCGCCGGAAGUUUGGCUUCGACCAAACUUCUGACCCGUGCCCGUCAGUGGCCCCUUCAAAUUCUUGAUCAAGUACGAUGUCUUAGUUAAAAACUUAAUAGUUAAAACUUUCAACAACGGAUCUCUUGGUUCUG